AGCUCAAUUGGAUAGAGUGAGUGGCUUCGAACCACUAGGUUGCAGGUUCAAGUCCUGCC
rnacentral:tRNA from 1 species